CCCCUGAGCAUUUCAAAAUACGGUUUCUGCUCCUAUGAGAAUCUAAUGCCGUUGCUGAUCUGACAGGAGGCGGAGCUCAGGCAGUAAGGCUCCCGGCCACUCAUCUGCUGUGCGGACGGGUUCCUAACAGACCACAGACACAUAGCCGUUUGCAGCCCGGAGGAUAGGGACUCCUGCUUACGGUGUAUAUCUAGAAGCAGGCUAAUCGAGCUUUAUCCAUCUUCAAACCCAGUAAUGGCCCAUGGAAUGCUUCUCAUGCCUCAAAUCUCUUUGUCUUCCCAUUCUGCUACCUGACUGUAAAGUUCUCACAUGAACUGUGCCACAAUACACAUAUCAAAGACUUGGAACCAACCCAAAUGCCCAUCAAUCAUAGACUGGAUAAAGAAAAUAUGCACUUCUCCUUCCUGCCAUCAUGUGAAGAAGGAUGUGUUUGCUUCCCCUUCAACCAUGAUUGUAAGUUUCCUGAGGCCUCCGCAGCCAUGCAGAACUGUGAGUCAAUUAAACCUCUUUCCUUUCUAAAUGACACAGUCUUGGGCAGCCCUUUAGAGCAGUGUAAGAACAGACUAAUAUAUACUCUAACAUUAGAAUAUUUUUUAGGUUUAUUGUCAAAAAUACUCUUAUACAUAGCAAGAUGUAUUUAUUUUCUAUUCUAUAAUAUUCACAUAAAAAGAACACGCUUAGUCCAAAACAUAAGUUCUCAAUGUUUUUGAUUCAUUUACAUAUAAGUUAAGGCCAAAUGUAACAUAACAUGCAUGUAAAAGGGUAAUUGGUGGCCUACUUUUCAAUGACUUGCUAGCCAUUCAUAUGAACACACAUAAAUAAGAUACAAAAUAUAUUUCACCACAAGAAGCUCUGUUUUAAUAAUAGCUUUAUAUUUUGGUUGUCCAGUGGAUGAAAUAUAUAUUUCUAUCCUCAGAUUUUGUAAAAACAAUCUAUUUAGUAAAAUACACAUGAGAAACAGAAGACAAAAACCUAUCUGAAUAUCACCUCAAGAUAUUUAAUAUGUAUUUGACCUCUAACAAUGAAUGGUUUUCAUGAAUUUAAGCUAUUUAUUGAAACAGGUAUUAUUUUAAAAUGCCUCAAAGAAAAAUAUGUAUGAAACCUAACAAAUGAUAAUAAUUUUAUGUAGAAGAAACAGAUGAUUGAGUUUGUGCAAUCUUAUUUUGUUAAUUUUGUUUUACAUAUGUUUCUAUAUCCUCAGAUAUAAAGUAUAGUGGUUGUAUGAUAUGUUCUGGAAAGGGGAAUGUUCAAAUCCAGUCUCUGUUACUCUGUUAUUUGGGCAUAUAUCAUCUGCCUUAUAACACCAAUUUUCUUAUAUAUAAAAUUUGUGUAUAAUAAUAUAUAACUUAUUUCUGAUACAUAGCAGUUUAUUAAUAUGAACUCUUAUAUUGUGAAUAUUGUAAAUUUUAUUUCUAUCAUCUCCUUGAGCAUAUGUGAUGCUUCAUUACUUUCUAUAUCCUUAAAUUUUAGCAGUGAAUUUUUUGCUAGUUGUUCAAUAAAUGUAAACUGACAUUGCUUUGCUAAAUAUGCCAAAUAAUGUCCUUGGUAUAUGUUUUUAAAAAUGUACUACAACAUCAUAAGUGCUUGCUUCCUAUGUGACAAAGAAAAUCUCCCAUAAGUACCUAGGGGCUUUUAAAAUGAAUUACAUGUGAGAUAUUUAAAAAAAAAGAUCUCUACAGAGAUAGAGAGUAGAAUGAUGGUUAUCAGAGGCUGGGUAGGGUAGCAGGGAGGAAAAGAUAAAGACAGGCUGGUUAAUAGGUACAAAAAAGCAGCUAGAUGAAAGGAAUAUGGUCUAAUGUAUGGUAGCACUAUAGUUAAAAAUGUAUUGUAUAUUUCAAAAUAACUAAAAGUUAUUUUGAAGAAUUACAUUGAAUUGAAAUGUUCCUAACACUGAUAAAUAAUAAACGUUUGAGGUGAUGGAUACCCCAAUUACAAUGAUUGGAUCAUUACACAUUGUUAAUUUGUAUAAAAAAUCACAUGUACUUCAUACAUACAACUAUUAUGUAUUUACAAUGAUUAAAUUAAAAAAAUUUAAAAUAGAUGAGAAAUUGGGUGCAGUGAAACACAUGUGUAAUCCCAGCUACUCAGGAGGCUGAAGCAAAAAGAUCACUUGCUACCAGGAGUUUGAGGCAGACUUGGCAAUAGCAAGACCCCCAUCUCU